rnacentral:sRNA from 2 species
AUAUCUCUCUGUACGGGAAGGAUGAGAAGCUUCGACUAAGGUUCGAUUCGAGCGAAAGCGAGAAAGCGUUGCCGCAGGCAACGACCCGAAGGGCGAAGCGCGCAGCGCUGAGUCAUCCUUCCCCCGUCAUCC